rnacentral:lncRNA from 1 species
UUUUGGUCAUCUAGCUAGUUGAGAACAAAGUUCAGCUUUAUAAGAAACCAACAACGACAAUAUUUUAUAAUGCCCCAUAAUCUAUUUUGCUUUUGAGCAGCUCAUUGGUGAUUGGGUAUUGUUUUUCUUCAAUGAUACUCUUAUUAAUUCUUCCAUUGAUCUACCUGUGAACCAAACGAACCAACUUCAAAUAAUAUUGGUAAAAGAAAGAUGGAAGUAGUGCGAACGAUCUAUUAAUGGAGCCUAUCAUUUUCUGUAAAGAAAUUUUUUAAUUUAUUGUGCUUCAUAUCUAUAACGAGUUUUUUUUAUUGUUGUUCUGAAUGAGCAGUCGGCUUUAUUUCUCGACUCAGAACGAAUGUGUUUCCUCUUGAUCGAGGAUUUUCUAUUAAUUGAUGCAUUCGACUUCACCUUCCUUGGGAGAUAAUUGAGCGCGUGCGUUUUAACAGUUCUGGUAGCUAAAAUAACGAGAGUCGUAUGCCAAAUUUAUGAAUAAAUUGAAUUGAUGCAGGGUGUCAGUAGCGAAAUUGAUGCAAGUGAAUCAAUUACGGUACGAGACAUAAUUAAGGUGCGGUUGUUUUAAUUUAAACUUUUGACUUAAAAUUUUGACAAAAUCUUGGGUCAGUAAUUUCGAAUAAUUCAAUGAUAGAUAUUAAAUAUUUAAAGUAGAAUUUAAUUAUGGUUAUUCUUUCACCAUUAAAUUUUUUAAAUCAAUGACUCAAGAAUUAAGUCAAAAUUUUAAGUCAAAUUUAAGCUAGAAUUACUUAAACCGUUUCAGUUUUGAAAAUACCUAAAAUAAAACUAAACUCUCUUUGCUUUUAUCGCCAUAAAUAUAGCGCGUCAGAUUUUAUUGAUUUUAUUGCCAAGUGGUUCGACACUGCCCUCAUGAUUCUAGUCCCCAUAAGAGGACUCAAUAUUCUCCUUCCCAAAUUAUGUAAUUGGGCGGAAGUAGACAUUUCUUCCAAUGAUUUUGGUGGCGCUAGAAAAUAAAUCUUUUUUUAUAUUAGUGAGGGUAUAAGUUUAGGCUGUAUUGUAAUAUAUUUGAUUUAGAGUCGUCACAGCGAAUUUUUAAUUAUAAAUAUUAGUAGAAUUUUGAGGGUGCAUUUACUUCUUGAAUUGAUGAAUCAUAAUUAGAGAUGGUAAAAUUCGGGUUCGGGUCUGGGUCCCGGUUUAACCAUUUCGGUUCUGGACUCGGAUGGUAACUUGAAAUACCGGACCCGGAUAUAAACCCAAAUAUUUUUACUCCGGGUCCGGUCCGAGCUCAACCAAGAAAAAUCUGGGUUUCCAGAUUCCGAGUUUAGAACCCGGAUGCUUGCUAAACAGAUACGAUUUUCUCUCUCUCUCUGCUGUGAAUUCCUCCUUACAUCUUUAACCUAUUACCAACAACAAUGGAAAAUAAUGCAAAAUCAAAUAACUAGAAAUAAAUUCAAAGGCAAUAGAGCAUACAAAAUUCAAUUUUCAAACAUAAUGAUGACAAAUUAGGCUUUGUGGGGUUAAGCCAAGAAAAGCCGAAAAGGGGAGGAAUGGGUUUUGGUCUUCAAAAUCAUGUAUGUUGUUCAAGCCAUUGUUCUCAUCUCCACUUUUGCUUUCUUCUUACUUUGCCGCGGCUGCACUUCUAAUCUCCUUUUCUUCUUCCUUUGCUGUUUGGUUUUUAUUUUGUAUUCUUUAAUUAAUUUUUCAAUUCUUUCUUCAUCGAUCUUCUUCACCUCUGAUGAUGAUGAACAUAAACACAGCAAAGUAGCGAAGCAAUGUUGAGUGGUGACGAUGAUUUGAUGAAGAGAAGGGUUGAACGGAGAGAAAAUGGUUUGGCUUGAUGAUGAUUUGAUGAAGAGAAUGGAGAGAGUGAAAAUGUUUGGUAGUGGCGGUGAAUUAGGGCAAGGCUAAUUUUUUUUAUUUUUCAAUUUAUAUUAAAUAAAGAUGUUCGGGUCUGGGUUCUGAAUUUACGGGUUUACCCAAACCUGGAACCGGACCCGGAUACAUCCGGGUUGAUAAAAUUCAAUCUGAAUUUAAUUUGUUUCAGUACGGGUUGAACCUAGACCGAAUUUUUUGGGUUCGUCCGGGUCCGAGUUAAAUUGUCA